rnacentral:rRNA from 1 species
CGAGGAAUCUUGGGCAAUGGGCGAAAGCCUGACCCAGCGACGCCGCGUGAGGGAUGAAGGCCUUCGGGUCGUAAACCUCUUUUGUGAGGGAAGAAGUUCUGACGGUACCUCACGAAUAAGCCACGGCUAACUACGUGCCAGCAGCCGCGGUAAUACGUAGGUGGCAAGCGUUGUCCGGAUUUACUGGGCGUAAAGGGCUUGUAGGCGGUUCGUUAAGUCCGGUGUGAAAUCUCCCGGCUCAACUGGGAGGGGGUCAUCGGAUACUGGCGGACUUGAGGUGGGCAGAGGAAAGCAGAAUUCCCGGUGUAGCGGUGAAAUGCGUAGAUAUCGGGAGGAAUACCAGUGGCGAAGGCGGCUUUCUGGGCCUAUCCUGACGCUGAGGAGCGAAAGCGUGGGGAGCAAACCGGAUUAGAUACCCGGGUAGUCCACGCCCUAAACGGUGGAUGCUAGGUGUAGGGGGUGUCGACCCCUCUGCGCCGCAGCUAACGCUUUAAGCAUCCCGCCUGGGGAGUACGGCCGC